rnacentral:precursor_RNA from 8 species
GGUUUUUCCAGUCACCUGUAUGUCAUUUUCAGUCUUCAAUUCCUCCCAGCCCGUACCCAUCGAAACUGUGAGUUGAGGCGAGUUGAAGACUUAAAGUGCUGUACAGAUUCAAGUAUCUGCUCG